UACGGGGGGGGCAAGCGUUGUUCGGAAUUACUGGGCGUAAAGGGCGCGUAGGCGGUUCGCUAAGUUGGAUGUGAAAACUCUGGGCUCAACCCAGAGCCUGCAUCCAAAACUGGCGGGCUAGAGUUCUGGAGGGGGUAGCGGAAUUCCUGGUGUAGCGGUGAAAUGCGCAGAUAUCAGGAGGAACACCGGUGGCGAAGGCGGUUCUCUGGGCAUGAUCUGACGCUGAGGAGCGAAAGUGUGGGGAGCGAACAGG
rnacentral:rRNA from 1 species